rnacentral:rRNA from 1 species
CCUACGGGAGACAGCAGUGAGGAAUAUUGGUCAAUGGCCGGAAGGCUGAACCAGCCAUGCCGCGUGCAGGUCAGUGCCCUAUGGGCGUUAAACUUCUUUUGUGCGGGAGCAAUAAUGGUCACGUGUGGCCAGACGAGAGUACCGUACGAAUAAGCAUCGGCUUACUCCGUGCCCGCAGCCGCGGUUAUACGGGGGAUGCCAGCGUUAUCCGGAUUUAAUGGGUUUAAAGGGUGCGUAGGCUGUGUGGUAAGUCAGCGGUGAAAUGCCCCCGCUCAACGGGGUGAAGUGCCAUUGAUACUGCCUCGCUGGAAUGCGGAUGCGGUGGGAGGAAUGUGUGGUGUAGCGGUGAAAUGCAUAGAUAUCACACAGAACACCGAUUGCGAAGGCAGCUCACGAAUCCGCGAUUGACGCUGAGGCACGAAAGCGUGGGGAUCAAACAGGAUUAGAUACCCGAGUAGUC